rnacentral:rRNA from 1 species
AAUCAACGCUGGCGGCGUGCCUCAGACAUGCAAGUCGAACGCGAAAGUCCCCUUCGGGGGACAAGUAGAGUGGCGCACGGGUGAGUAACACGUAGGUAAUCUACCUUUGGAUGGGGAAUAACAACCGGAAACGGUUGCUAAUACCGCAUAAUGCAGCGGCACCUAAUGGUGACAGUUGUUAAAGCGGGGGAUCGAAAGACCUCGCGUCUGAAGAGGAGCCUGCGGCGGAUUAGCAGUUGGUAAGGUAAUGGCUUACCAAGGCUACGAUCCGUAACCGGCCUGAGAGGGCGGUCGGUCACACUGACACUGACAUACGGGUCAGACUCCUACGGGAGGCAGCAGUCGGGAAUUUUGGACAAUGGGCGCAAGCCUGAUCCAGCCAUGCCGCGUGCGGGAAGAAGGCCU